UACGUAGGGGGCUAGCGUUGUCCGGAAUCAUUGGGCGUAAAGCGCGUGUAGGCGGCCCGGUAAGUCCGCUGUGAAAGUCGGGGGCUCAACCCUCGGAUGCCGGUGGAUACUGUCGGGCUAGAGUGCGGAAGAGGCGAGUGGAAUUCCUGGUGUAGCGGUGAAAUGCGCAGAUAUCAGGAAGAACACCCGUGGCGAAAGCGGCUCUCUGGAACGGUACUGACGCUGAGACGCGAAAGCGUGGGGAGCGAACAGG
rnacentral:rRNA from 1 species